rnacentral:lncRNA from 1 species
GGAAUUCUGUUUUAAUUGUUUGAAAACAGGAGCUGAGGGGAAGCGUGGUAGGAGAAGAUGCCUGUGCAUGCCGCUCAUGUUUCCAGCAGGGCAAUGUAGAUGCAUGUCAGGAAAGAUGAUUAGAUAGUUUAGAACCAGAUCCUUGUCUGAGAUGGAAACUGCAGCUGCUAAUUAAGAAGAGUAGAGCUCGAGGAAGCCGCCAGCUGCCAGCCUGGUGCUGCCUCUCCUGCAAGUGUGAAGUGUGGCUGCAUCCAGAAGCACUGGUGAGCAGGGCUUUGCUUGGCCUGUGGAGUGUAAGAUGCUGGCCCAGAAGGAACUUCAUGCUCUGUUUUUCCUGGGGGUUCGCCUCUGAUCACAUGCCCAGGGCUUACUUCUGCUUGGACGUCUGGCACUGCUGAGGGGGUGGGCACUUGGGGGCACAGGGCUCCUGGCACUUGGGUGGGGGCUGGCAAGGCUGCUUGGUCUGUUGGGGUGGGGGGCAGUACUGCUGAGGCGGGGGGCAGCACUGCUGGGGUGGGGGGCAGCGCUGCUGGGGUGGGGGGCAGCACUGCUGCGGGGGAGCACACUGCUUCUGCUUCUGCUGAGACAUUCUGGGCUGGACUUGCAACUGGAAACAGAAAGACACAGAAAUGAGGAACACUUGAGCCAUAGAGAGACCCUAAGCCCAGGUGAACCCCCUGCCACAUUCCUGUCCUGCUCUGCUUUUACCUUGCCCUGAUCCCUUCACAGAUUUAAGAGGAGUGUGUGUGUGUGUGUGCGCGCGCGCAUGUGUAAACUUUAAGUGUUUACAAGUUAUUUCAACUCUUUUCAAGACAAAGAAACAUGGAAGGAAGGAAAGAUAGGAAAGGAGGAAGGGAGGGAAAACAGAAAUGUUAGGAGGGGUUGAAAAGAAAGAAAAACAUAAAAAAAGAAAAGGGAGAGAGAGGAAAAAAAAGAGGAAGAAUGAAAGAGCAGACUGUUGUAUCCUAUUAUAGCAAAACCUGUGGCAUCUGGAAUAAAUUGCCUGGGAUCUGAGUUCUGGCUAAAUCAUUUAUUAACUAUAUGAUUUUGAGCAACUAAGGUUUUCCAUACUUACCUCUCUUAGAGUUGGUGCAAAAAUUAAAUGAGUAUAUAAAAUACAUACUUAAAAUAUGCAUGCAUACGUAGGUAUGUAUGUACCGACACACACAUGCAGAGUAGUAGCACAAAAUGAACACUAUAUAAGAGUUGUAAUUUGUUAAGUAAAUUCAUAAACAAUUUAAAAGGCGCAUCUUAACCACUCUCUAAAGGAGUUUAUAAAGAGAAAACUCUAGAGAUAGAUGAAAUGGACUAUCUAGCUUGCCUCUCUCAAUUACAGUUGAGGAAAGCAAACCUCAGAGGGAAGGAAUGGCUUCAAAGCCACUCGGCAUAGAUGGUGGGAAAAGAGGUCUCCUGAUUCCCAGAGCAGAGCCUUCCAUGGUGCCACAUCGUCUUGUCCCUGCAGCCCUUUGCUCCAUGGACAUCCACAACUCUGCUGUCCCAAGGGAGUCUGUUCUCUUUCCUUCCUGCCUUCUCUUUUCUUUGAAAGGACAGUCCUUCCAGUUGCUCUGCCCAGAACUGGUCUCUCCUCUCCUACUAAUUCCCUCUUAGCACCUGACAAGAUGCAACACCCACACCAUGCCAGCAGCAUCGCUGAGAUACUGACCCUCUUGUAGAUACCCCCCUCCUUCUCCCUGCUCAGCCCAGCCUCCCACACUACUCUGCUGGAUAACUUGCUGGACCCAAGAUAGGUUUGUCACAAAUGAUAUGGAAAAAAGAGGUACCCCAAAAGACCCAUCCUUUCUGACCACCACCCAGAGAAUCAGCCCAGUCCAUAGUUGGUUAGGGAUGCAGGCAAGGCAAGGCUGCUAUAAGAGGUACUACCUUUCCAGACUUACCAAGGUUCACCAGC